AUAUGGUAGUUCAUGAUGAACUAUCCAUAUAAAUCAGAAAGAGACUGAAGGAUCAGAUGUACCUACAAUUCUUUAUCCAUGUUCAUGCCGAGCUUCUGAAGCUCCUCUAUAUCCUUGAUCAUUGUCAAAUAACGAUUAUUGAUGGACUAUCCAUCAUGCAUCUUCAUUCUGAAGAGUCUUCAGAAGAUCUCAAAAUGAGCUGUAUGACUCUGCUCACCAUAUAACUCUUGUAGGUGAGUCACCAUCUUCCUGACAGUCCUCAUGUUUUCAUGCUGUUACUGA
rnacentral:lncRNA from 1 species